GUGGUAACCAACUGAGUGGUCAAGUUGCUUGUAUCUUAUGCAUACAGACUGAUACCAGCAGUUUCCUAGGACGUGCCUCGCUCCACAUCAGAUUCAGUUAACACUGUUUGAAAGAGAACAUUGUUUUCAUCAUGAUUGUUACUAAAGAUGAGAGACCAAAGUCCAGAAGCCACAAUUUUCACCUUUUUCAUGCCUUGAUGAUGAUAAGCAUGACCAUGCUGUUUCUUCCAGUCAUUGGAACUUCCAAGCAAAAUAUUCCACGACUCAAGCUAACCUACAAAGACUUGCUGCUUUCAAAUAGCUGUAUUCCCUUUUUGGGCUCAUCAGAAGGACUGGAUUUCCAAACUAUUCUGUUAGAUGAGGAGAGGGGCAGGCUGCUCCUGGGAGCCAAGGACCACAUCUUCUUGCUCAGUCUGGUUGACUUAAACAAAAA